rnacentral:rRNA from 1 species
AACGCGAAGAACCUUACCUGGGCUUGACAUGCACUGGAAACCAGUAGAGAUAUUGGCCCCCUUGUGGCCGGUGUACAGGUGGUGCAUGGCUGUCGUCAGCUCGUGUCGUGAGAUGUUGGGUUAAGUCCCGCAACGAGCGCAACCCUCGUUCCAUGUUGCCAGCGCGUAAUGGCGGGGACUCAUGGGAGACUGCCGGGGUCAACUCGGAGGAAGGUGGGGAUGACGUCAAGUCAUCAUGCCCCUUAUGUCCAGGGCUUCACACAUGCUACAAUGGCCGGUACAAAGGGCUGCUAAGCCGCGAGGUGGAGCGAAUCCCAUAAAGCCGGUCUCAGUUCGGAUCGGGGUCUGCAACUCGACCCCGUGAAGUCGGAGUCGCUAGUAAUCGCAGAUCAGCAACGCUGCGGUGAAUACGUUCCCGGGCCUUGUACACACCGUAGUAC